rnacentral:rRNA from 1 species
UACGUAGGGUGCAGGCGAUAAUCGGAAUUACUGGGCGUAAAGCGUGCGCAGGCGGUCUUUUAAGUCAGAUGUGAAAUCCCCGGGCUUAACCUGGGAACUGCGUUUGAAACUGGAAGGCUAGAGUGUGGCAGAGGGGGGUGGAAUUCCACGUGUAGCAGUGAAAUGCGUAGAUAUGUGGAGGAACACCGAUGGCGAAGGCAGCCCCCUGGGCUAACACUGACGCUCAUGCACGAAAGCGUGGGGAGCAAACAGG